GACGAACGCUGGCGGCGUGCUUAACACAUGCAAGUCGAACGGUGAAGCGCCUUCCUUUUUGGUGGGUGUGGAUGAGUGGCGAACGGGUGAGUAACACGUGAGUAACCUGCCCCCUUCUUCUGGAUAACCGCAUGAAAGUGUGGCUAAUACGGGAUAUUCUGGGUCUGUCGCAUGAUGGGUCUGGGAAAGAUAUUGUUUCGGUGGGGGAUGGGCUCGCGGCCUAUCAGCUUGUUGGUGGGGUGAUGGCCUACCAAGGCGGUGACGGGUAGCCGGCCUGAGAGGGUGGGCGGUCACGCAGGGACUGAGACACGGCCCAGACUCCUACGGGAGGCAGCAGGGGGGAAUAUUGCACAAUGGGCGCAAGCCUGAUGCAGCGACGCCGCGUGAGGGAUGGAGGCCUUUGGGUUGUGAACCUCUUUCGCCAGUGAAGCAGGCCUGCCUCGUUUGUGGGUGGGUUGACGGUAGCUGGAUAAGAAGCGCCGGCUAACUACGUG
rnacentral:rRNA from 1 species